CCGGCAGACAGCACACGAUUUGAAACGGCCAUUCCCUACAAUAAAUGCGGUUUGUUUUUAUGGAGCACAUUAACUUACGUUUAGUUGCUUGUCUUCAAAACAUCUGUAUUUUCCUUAUAUCUCCUCGUAGUUUGUCAUUGAAUCACAGAAAAUAUAUAUUUCUUAUGGAAAAAAGAUGAAUGUCGAUUUGACAAGGACGCCAAUUUCAAGAUGAAGUUCAAGUUCAAGUCCAAGUCUUGAGCGACCAUCACCCUGUCUCUCCCUCACGUCCAAUUCCACUCCCCCUCUUGCUGUCUUUCUCUUCCACUCAUCAACACACCAUCAUCCCAGACACCCUGAACCAACUCCAAUUACCACCCCAACUUAUCCACAGAUGACGCAAUCUCUAAUGCACUCCACACUGCCCCAAACUACCUGGACAAAAGGAAUAUCUAUGGAAGAAUGCUGUUCAUUGACUCCAGCUCAGCAUUCAACACCAUAGUCCCUCCAAGCUCAUUACCAAGCUCAGGACCCUGGGACUGAACACCUCCCUCUGCAACUUGAUCCUGGACUUUCUGAUGGGCCACCCCCAGGCGGUGACGGUAGGCAACAACACACCUGCCACGCUGACCAUCAACACGAGGCCCCUCAGGGGUGUGUGCUUAGUCCCAUCCUGUACUCCCUGUUCACCCAUGACUGCGUGGCCGCGCACGACUCCAACACCAUCAUCAAGUUUGCUGACGACAUGACGGUGGUAGGACUGAUCACCGACAACAACCUAUAGGGAGGAAGUCAGAGAUCUUGCAGUGUGGUGCCAGGACAACAACCUCUCCCUCAAGGAGCUGAUCGUGGACUUCAGGAAACGGAGGGUCAAGCACACCCCCAUCCACAUUGAUGGGGCUGUAGUGGAGCGGGUCGAGAGCUUCAAAUUCCUUUGUGUCCAAAUAACUAAGGAAUUAACAUGGUCCACACACACAGUUGGGAAGAGGGUGGGAAUCAAAAUGGCGGAACCAUUGCAAGGCAGAGUCUCUCUGGUUUGGAGGGUGUUGAACAGUAUGAUCUCCAGCACUUUUUCUGCUGCAAAUAUGGAUGAGAAGAGACCUCAUGUGGACAUUUAGAGCAUUGCUUUCACACAGAGACAAUCCAGAACUUAAUUGGCAUAAUUCUACUUUAAUAUGGAAUAUACUGAAAUUCAAUGGUACUACAUUAAUAAAAUAUGAAAGUUGAAACAUAAGUGGAAACAAUGACACUAUGUAUGGGGUAGAGGUAAGGGAGAUUGAAAAGCUGGAAGUUUAGGCUAUAUCAUCUGAGCUCAGACAUUCUUAAGUGUAUUGUCUCUCUCUAUUGGUAAAAACCAUAAGGGAGAAGACAUCAGUUUCUUAGAUCAGUUUCUGGGGGCAACUUAACUUCAUCCUACAUCAUCAUGGCACCAUUUUCUUGCUCUGUCUUGAACUAAUAAAUGUCCGGCACAAUGCAUGCGUAUCCCGCAUUAUGUUUUAAGAUUCAAAGGAUUAUUUUGGAAGCUUAGACUUUCCAUUCUGAUUAACUGUAAUAACAGUAUAGUAAAUAGUUGACUUACCAGUGAACUACACGUGUCUACGUUAAUAUAAAUAAUACAUAUUUUAUGUUGACCAAAAGGGGUCUUUCCUGAACGUUAAAACCUUGUAACAAUUGCUUACUUGUCUCAAAAAUGUUUGUUUGAGAAUGUAUCUAGCUCACACAAAUGCUAGCACAUGCACUUUACACACAUGUGCAUGGUAAUAUUGUUGUAUGGUGGUAUCAUACAUUUUGUAUUGUAGAUAUGUAGUGGUGUAAUAAUGUUAAAUGAUGUACUGUUUUAUUUUUGGUUUUAUGUUAAUGUAAGUGCCUUAAUGUGUUUGGCCCCAGGAAGAGUAGUUGCUGCCCUGGUAUCCUUAAUAAAUACAAAUAAAAAUAUGCAACAGGUUUGAAACUCAAAGUGAUAUGUAAAAUGCAUAAAUCCUAGCAAUAGCUUGUAUGGAAAGGGAUAAUUUCCAUAGACAUUUAUGUGCAGCAUAUUACAGUUUUUUUCAAUUUCUAACAUGCAUUGGUCAAAACUGAAGUGACAUUGUCAAAACUCUUCACACAGUCAGCGAAACAGAAGUGUAUGUGGACCAAACUGUGAAUAAUUUUCAUUGCUUUCACACACAAUACAUUCAAUGACCACAUUCUCCGAAAUCCAUUAACUAUUUUUUUCAUUCAUACUCCACCACCUGCAAAACUAUAUAUUUGCAGUACGUUUUCAAAUACUAACACACUGUUUCCAAAACUGUUAAAAACACAUUCCACACAGAAUGAUGGCAAAUGUUGUGCAUUUCUGCAAAACCAGA
rnacentral:lncRNA from 1 species